rnacentral:siRNA from 1 species
UCAUCGAACACUUUUUGGGCGC